CUUGAUCGAGCCCAGCCACAGCGGCUGGUCCUCCGUCUUCUCCUUGCCGUACGUGGCCAGCAGCGCCUGCGCCUC
rnacentral:antisense_RNA from 1 species